rnacentral:rRNA from 1 species
CCUACGGAGGCAGCAGUGGGGAAUAUUGGGCAAUGGAGGAAACUCUGACCCAGCGACGCCGCGUGCGGGAUGAAGGCCUUCGGGUUGUAAACCGCUUUCAGUAGGGAAGAAGCGAAAGUGACGGUACCUACAAAAGAAGCACCGGCUAACUAUGUGCCAGCAGCCGCGGUAAUACAUAGGGUGCAAGCGUUGUCCGGAAUUAUUGGGCGUAAAGAGCUCGUAGGUCGUUUGUUACGUCGGAUGUGAAAACCUGAGGCUCAACCUCAGGCCUGCAUUCGAUACGGGCAAACUAGAGUUUGGUAGGGGAGACUGGAAUUCCUGGUGUAGCGGUGGAAUGCGCAGAUAUCAGGAGGAACACCAAUGGCGAAGGCAGGUCUCUGGGCCAAUACUGACACUGAGGAGCGAAAGUCUGGGGAGCGAACAGGAUUAGAUACCCUGGUAGUCCAGACCGUAAACGGUGGGCACUAGUUGUGGGAACCUUCCACGGUUUCUGCGACGCAGCUAACGCAUUAAGUGCCCCGCCUGGGGAGUACGAUCGCAAGAUUAAAACUCAAAGGAAUUGACGG